rnacentral:lncRNA from 1 species
UCGGUCCCCGCUGAGUUGUUUGAUGCAUUCACUGCAUUUUAUGUUACUUAAUGUGGCUUAUGUAUCUGCCAAUAAAUCUGAAAUACAGGUCACAGAAUAUGCAGCUCAAGGAAAUCCAUAAAAGUAGUAGAGAGAGGCUUCACUAACUGCAUCAGAUUGCCAAAAGCUGAGGUCAUUUCCUCUUGCUAAAAAUGUAGAGCUUCAUAAAUUAUUUUUAUCACCUCCAGAGCCAAGCAAACAGUUUUGCACAGACGCCGAAGGGGUCUCACUGCUUUUUUCUCUUUAAGCUGAAAACGUUUUUCUCAAGUCUUCCGCAAAAUGAUUGUGUGUUUUCUUUUUUAAAGCAUUAUUUCCAUCUUAGCAUAUUGCAUGUAAAUCUGGGAACAGAAACACAGUCGCAUCUGGUCAGGGUCUUCAGUGAAAGCAACGGCAAGUACCUAAGCUCAGAUGGUUCUGACCUAGGUUUAAUUACUCCCCAUAAUUGGGAGUUGACAUUAUUUCCUUUAAAAUAUUUUUAAGGAGAUGUUAGGUAUGCAGAGACAGUAAAAAUGAACAGCGAACAUUCAGUGAAGAACUUUAUAGAAAACACUACUGAAUUAACUUACAGUACAUUUGUUAAACAUGAGCACCUCUAAUAAUGACAUUUCAUUUAACAAUGCCCUUUGUCUUUUCAGUUCAUCAGUUACCUAUUUCAGUAAUGAACUGCAGUCAUACCAUUCUGAUUUUCUCCUAAUGUAAAGGCUCAGCUCACUUCACUGCCAGUGAAGCAUGAUGCUAUUAUUCAGUUCCUGGCUUAGGAAAAAAGCUAUAGACUAUAUCACAAUUCUAAUUGGCUAACAAAUAUUAAACCCUACAAUUGUUAAGGGCACCCAGUGGUUCUGUUUAGCUUUUGAUGGGGAUAAGUAAAAUAAAGAAAGGGAAAUGAUUUGAAGGGGGGAAAAAAAGGUUAGUGUGUAUACUUUAUGAGCAGUAACCCAAGUAGCCAUUGAAAAAAUAUGAGCACACAUUAUAUUUAAUAGCUCAAAUGUUAUCUUAAUUCUUUAUCAACAAUUCAUGCAGAUAGCUUAAUACCAAAUAUUUUAGUUAGGAUUAACAAUCUGUGAAACAGAAGGUUUAGCAAAUGAGAGAUGGAAUUUGUUCUACCUGCAGCUGCAAGAGGAGGCAAAUGUAAGCUCCUGGAAGGCUGGGUCACGCAUGAGACAUUCUUUUCCUGCCAAAUAAAUGCAGGCAGAUUUGGAAAAUAUUAUGUCUAUUGUAGCCCUGAUUUAUACUUCCCACGGAAGGUAAUGAAGCCUGUGUCCAAACUUAUUUUUGUCCCUUUUGCAAAGGUUUCCUGGGAGUGAAAGAUAGGUGCCUUCCUUGUUUUCCUUUUUCCACGUGGUAGAAUCCCCCAAAGCAACCCCCCCUCCUUCUGAAGUCACCAAAACAUCUCAUUAGUAAAGGCGAGAUUCAGCUCACCAUAAUCUCUCCCCAGCUGAGGCAAAGCUGCACAAUUUACAAUAGAUCUUUGGAAAACUGCUUUUUACUGAGUGCUGCUGCAUCUAUAGAUCUCUCUCAAUUACCCACAGUAAAUUUAGGCAUUGUACAAGAGCAAAUUUUACAGUCCAUGAAGAGAUGAAGUGAAAUCUAGAUGAAAUUCAUUGUGACAGAUUCCCAGUUAGUGCUCUGAUGUGUCUGUAUUACGGAAGAUAGACAUUCUAUUAGCAUGGAAGCUCCCAUAAUGGACUGUGAAUCAUCUCAGGUAAUAGAGAUGCCAAGCAGAAUGACUGAAAAGCACUAUUGAAUUCCAUUAGAGCUCUUUGUUUUUAAAUCAGUCAUUUCUUGUGAAUAACCAACUAUACACUUCUUGACCCUAUCUCCGAGUGAUAAUUGUGGACUAAUAUUACAAUACAUUAAUCUGAGUUACUGUGCAAUUAGUGUUUUAGCUGCAGGCUGAUUUGGGGUUUCCUAAAUGGAAAGGCCCACUCCUUUGGACGCUGGAGCUUAUAGUACCAAUACACAGUUUCAGAAAUGAACUCUUCCAUGAUCCCGUUUUUAGUUCUGUUUCAACAUCACUGGAUUCAUUCCUUGGUCAUACAGUAUACAAGGGAUUUGUAUAUUGGUGAUUUCCCACCCCUUUUCCUUUAAGGAUUUCCCCUGCACCAGGUCAGACAUCCAGGGCAAAAUAAUUUUUACGGAGGUAAGUCUGUAAGGAAAUCAUUUUAAAUAAGCCAGGUUGGCAAGUCUUUUUUUUUUUUAAUCUUAAAUGUGUAGCUAAUCAUUAGGAAAAUAAAGAACAUCAUAUUCUGCUGCAUAAACAGCCCCACCUAAUCUAUCCAUCAAAUAUGAUUGAUCAGACUUAGUAAUUACUUGGAUAAUUAGUAGAGGGUUUAGGUUUGUGCAGUACACUGUAGCCUUUGGGAUGCCUGCGUAAUUACCAUUUGUACAGUAGAUCAAGUUAUAUGAAUUAUUCUAUUCAAUUUUAACAUAAACAUGAAGCACUUAGAAUAGAAAACCAGAACAGUACAUGUUUCUUAAUUCAUGGCAUUUGAUUCAAAUGCAAUAGCUUGUAAUGGGGCAAAGCUUUCUUUGGCCAAAAGCUCUAAAGUUAACAUAUACACAUUAAAAACACACCAAGCCUCUUCUUGCGUCUUGUGACUUCUACCUGAUUUAUAAGGCAGGGGAGAGGUAAUUUUCAAAGGGGACAGUGGGAUCCAAAGCACAGCAACGUCAGAUGAGUCGCUUCAAUAUUCUCCCAUAAAUCCCUGAGGACAACUUUAAAAAGAGUCAACUUUACAUCUUCUGUCUACGAUCAUCUAUUUUCACAUCAGGAUGAACAACAUUAUCCUCAUCGCAGGAGGACCCGAGACUAGCGCCUCAACACGAGGCUCUCUCCUUAAUGUUGUAAUGACAGGUGUAAGAUUAACUUUGUUAGGUGUCUAGCCACUCAUGCAAACUAAAUUAAAUUAAUGGAACAAAUUUCUCUCAUAAUUAAGAUAAAAAUUCAUGUCAGCUGUAACCUUGCUGUACACUAAUUAUAUACAAAUGAUUUAUCAUCUGCUUCGCCCAGAAUAUUAAUCCUUACCUCAUUGAUAACUGCAGCCAGUGUUAAGAGAUGAGAGUUGAUUAACUAUGACAGAUUGGGCAACCACAGCCCUCGGUGCCGGCACAACCGGUGAAACCAAUAACACUGAAGUAGCUCUCCGUGUUUAAAAUGCAUUCCCAUGGAAACAGAUGCAUGCUUAAUGAAGGGUACUGAGAUUAUUUUCAAUAAUGACUGAUAUUGGAACAGUGGGCAGAGCUGAUCAAUAACAAUUAACCACUUAGUCUGCUAAAGACAUGGUUAGAGAAAGCAGGUUAUUUACACAUUAGUGGAACCUUAUUCGAAGACGAGUACUCCAUAAUGUCUCUAUGCUGUACGGUUUCUCUUGUUCCCUGCCUGGGAGGGGUUCCAUGGUGGAGAGAUGGUAAUGUGCCAAGCGCCCUCCUGUCGCCUCUUAGCGCCUGCUUAUGAAGUUAUGUGCAUUCUCAUUUCUCUGAAUGAAGAAAAUGGCUGAAGGAGAUGAAAAUCAGGCAUUUUAGCUGGCAUUGUUACUAAAAGAAUCAACCUUUAAAAAAAAUAGGAGAAUGCUUCUUUCUCCACACUUCUUAAAGAGUCUCAAUCUGAAAAUGCAAAUAAACAGAAACAUAUUCUGCAUUUUUGCCAGUCUAGUUCAUCUCUUUGCUCUGUUAUGCAGGCCUGUGUGUAAACUGAUGCUGGCAGCUAAUGCCAACUCUGACAUGCUACGUAUGUGUAGAAGUUUUAAGUUUAGGUAAAGAAAAGAAUGUAGCAUUUUGUUGUCCUUUAGCCCUGUGGGACAGACGUUCCCCACUUAAAUCAUCAGACUCCACACAGAUGCUAAUGCAUUUGGAACAACAUUUAUGUGGCUGAACAAAAAUGGAUGCUAAAUACCCCAAGCCAAGCACAGCAAACAAGAAAUAGGCUGACACAUUUCUAUCAGGAAGGCAACCAGAAC